rnacentral:rRNA from 1 species
UACGUAGGUGGCAAGCGUUGUCCGGAUUUACUGGGCGUAAAGGCUGCGUAGGCGGAUAUUUAAGUGGGAUGUGAAAUACCCGGGCUCAACUUGGGUGCUGCAUUCCAAACUGGAUAUCUAGAGUGCAGGAGAGGUAAGCGGAAUUCCUGGUGUAGCGGUGAAAUGCGUAGAUAUCAGGAGGAACACCUGUGGUGUAGACAGCUUACUGGACCAUUUCUGACGCUGAGACACGAAAGCGUGGGUAGCAAACAGG